GCGGCCAGUUAAGGGUAUCGGUGGACGUCGAUAGACGAUCUGGAACUGGCUACAGAUCAGAAGGUGAGGGGUUCGAGUCCUCUCGGCUGCG
rnacentral:tRNA from 1 species